CCUACGGGUGGCAGCAGUCGAGAAUCAUUCACAAUGGGGGAAACCCUGAUGGUGCGACGCCGCGUGGGGGAAUGAAGGUCUUCGGAUUGUAAACCCCUGUCAUGUGGGAGCAAAUUAAAAAGAUAGUACCACAAGAGGAAGAGACGGCUAACUCUGUGCCAGCAGCCGCGGUAAUACAGAGGUCUCAAGCGUUGUUCGGAAUCACUGGGCGUAAAGCGUGCGUAGGCUGUUUCGUAAGUCGUGUGUGAAAGGCGCGGGCUCAACCCGCGGACGGCACAUGAUACUGCGGGACUAGAGUGAUGGAGGGGGAACCGGAAUUCUCGGUGUAGCAGUGAAAUGCGUAGAUAUCGAGAGGAACACUCGUGGCGAAGGCGGGUUCCUGGACAUUAACUGACGCUGAGGCACGAAGGCCAGGGGAGCGAAAGGGAUUAGAUACCCGAGUAGUC
rnacentral:rRNA from 1 species